rnacentral:rRNA from 1 species
UACGGAGGAUGCAAGCGUUAUCCGGAUUUAUUGGGCGUAAAGCGUCCGCAGGUGGUUUUCCAAGUCUGCUGUUAAAGCGCGAGGCUUAACCUCGUACAGGCAGUGGAAACUGGAUGACUAGAGUAUGGUAGGGGUAGCGGGAAUUCCCAGGGUAGCGGUGAAAUGCGUAGAUAUUGGGAAGAACACCAGCGGCGAAAGCGCGCUACUGGGCCAUUACUGACACUCAUGGACGAAAGCUAGGGGAGCGAAAGGG